rnacentral:rRNA from 1 species
UGGGGAAUAUUGCGCAAUGGGGGAAACCCUGACGCAGCAACGCCGCGUGAAGGAUGAAGGCUUUCGGGUUGUAAGCUUCUUUGAUGAGGGACGAAAGAAAUGACGAUACCUCAAAAACAAGCCACGGCUAACUACGUGCCAGCAGCCGCGGUAAUACGUAGGUGGCGAGCGUUGUCCGGAAUUACUGGGUGUAAAGGGCGUGUAGGCGGGGAUGCAAGUCUGAUGUGAAAGCCCCGGGCUUAACCUGGGAAGUGCAUUGGAAACUGUCGGGCUUGAGUACUGGAGAGGAUGGGGGAAUUCCCGGUGUAGAGGUGAAAUUCGUAGAGAUCGGGAGGAAUAUCAGUGGCGAAGGCGCCCAUCUGGACGGUAACUGACGCUGAGACGCGAAAGCGUGG